UUGCAUGGUCCAGUAUAGCUUUUGUUAGCGUUUUAUCGCGUAUUUGGGUUCUUUAACAAUAGAAUGGUUAGGAGGUCUAGUCACGGACUUUAUAAUAGUGACGACAGGUAUCCUGAAAGGCUAGUUGGUGGAGUUCAAUUCGUACCCUUUCCAAAACCAAAGACCCAGUACGAAAAAUGUCUUUGAUGGAUCAAACUGUGUAAGACCGCAUCAUCAACUGAAUCCAUCUAAAAUCAACCGGAACAGAAGACCGAGUACAAAAAACGUCUUUGAUGGAUAAAAUUUUGAGGAAGACCGCAUGAUAAACUGAAUCCAUCAACCGGAACAGAUAUGUUUGCACGAAGCCUACCAGCGGAGGUGCUGCGCGGGAGGACUGGUAGUGGGUCCGAGGCUGCGUCCACCCUGGGGCUGAAGCCUGGCACCACAGCAGUGGCAGUGUGAUCUCUCGAAGCAGGCUGCUGACCCCCUGCGCGGACUCCUUCCACAGGCUGCCGAUGCCCUGCGUGGACUCUUUGAGGAGACUCAACUUACCGUUCAUUGUGACGACCAAACUUCAGGUGCAGUAAGAUCAAAGGUUAGCGGUUCCACUCCGAUCUGAUUCAUCCCUCUUUGGGGCUGCUAAUCGUCCACCGCGGAGGCUAGUGAAGGGCCGGACCCAUGCUGCCUCCGUGGGCGAGCUUGACCCACCCCACCGCAGCUUGAAGCGCGAUGCUCGGUCGCUGAGUGGAGAGGCCUUGCCCCGGAGCUGAGCGACCUCCGCGGGAUGACAUACAAGUGGCGAGUGUCCCGCACGCUGCCGAACCGAUAAGGUGAACUUUUCACCAGGCGGAUUCCAAUUUUGAUGUCACCAAGCGAAUUCCCAUUUUGAUACGACAACCAGCAGCCAGUCUCUCUGAGGUAACACAGGAAGUGUGCUACUGCCGUCGAAGAUCAAUGAAGAGCUGCAAAUUGAACAAGUGUGGUCAGUGUUGUCACCAAUUAGCGGAUGGCGAUGCAACAUCAGGCCAGAAGACUGCAACUGUUAAAAGAAGUGAAGGAGUACAAAAGUUCCACAGACCUGAGAAAAGAA